AGUUUUAUUUUCUUAAAGAGAAACUCAUUUUUUUAGAUAAACGCUAUUUUCCCUUAGGUGUGGAAAAUAUUGCCUAUAGUGGUUUAUUUAGAAGCUUUCUUUGAGCAAUUUUUCAAAAUUUAUGAAGGAUCAUAAUAACGUUUGAUUGUGGUCCUCCACUAAAUAUGCAUGUAGUUCUAGGGUGCAAUUUCUUCACUUUAUAUGUUGUUUAAAUAGAUAAUAUUUUUGAAAGUUAUCCCAUGUCUUUUUUUCCCAGUUAAAUAACAAUUUCAUUUCAAUAGAAACAAGAAAUUAGAUAUUGAUUUGGCAUAAAUAUUGAUUUUUAUAUUUGGUUAUAAUAAACAACAAUUUUUUUUUUCUAGAAUAGAUGGUUGUUAAAGGAGGCUUACAGGCAAAUAAAUCAUUGUAAAUAUGCACCAAGUUCAGAUUUUUAUGUCAAUCUUCUUGCACUGUCAAAAGCUUGACAUGAUGCUCAAAUGAAAUAUUAAAUGUUUUUGAAUAUAUUGUAUUAGGAGCAUUAUGGAGAAUUCCCUUUGUUCGAACUCAUUUCAUGUGUUCCUCCAAGUGGCCCUUUUGAGAAGGGAAUGACACACAUGACAUGAUUCAAAGAUACUAAUGUUUUAACAUUUUUGGGAAUAUUGGAUGCUAUAUGUCUAAAUAUACUACAUUAUUUAAGUUUGAAUGUAUGCAGUGGAAAUGGGAGAACUAAGUUUAUGUUGAA